rnacentral:snoRNA from 1 species
AACAUGGAUAGACUCAGGAAGUCACUCUCCCCAGCUCUGUUCAAGUGGUAUAGAGGGGCCCAGGGCUCUGCUCCACGAUGUCCACAGAAAGUCUUGGUCUAGAGGAAUCUUCCCUUUAGAGGCACACAGCA